rnacentral:rRNA from 1 species
UUGAAUAAAUGUUUAAAAUUUGUUUUGUGAACUGGAUUAGUACCCAGGUAAUCAAAAUUUAUUAAUUCGGGAGUAAAGUUAUAUUUAAACCGAAAGAAUAUUGACUGACUUUAGAUUUUUCUUUGGAAUAUGUGUUAGGAGAGCCCUCCUUAUUGGUAUUUUUUUUUUUGGCACAUGUAUGAUUGUUUUGUUGCUAUAUUAUUUGUAGUGCUUUAGACUUUUUUGUUUUAAAACAGAUAUAUACUUGGCUUAUAAAAUUUUUUCGCAUGUAUUACUAUUUUUAAUUUUUUUUGGAUAUUUUUUUUAUUUUUUUUUGAAAUUGGAAAAGAAAGUAAUUUAUUCUUUA